rnacentral:rRNA from 1 species
UUCGGUGGCUAUUGCGAAGAGGAAACACCCGUUCCCAUCCCGAACACGGCAGUUAAGCUCUUCCGCGCCAAUGAUACUGUACGGGUUAGCUGUACGGGAAAGUAGGUCGCCGCCGAAA